AAUUUAUUUUUUUAAGUUAUAUGGGAGUCCAUAUUUAAUUACACCAAUAAUAGUAUGACAUCAAAGAAAGUACUAAGCAGCAAUGGUACCUUUUAGCAAUUCUCAUUCACACACCAUCAUAUAUAUAUAUAUAAGAAAAACUAAUAUUAUAAUGUAUAACAUUUAUUAUUGGGAGUGGACAGUAAAAGCACUCAAACUUUUAUUAUUAAAUAGAGAAAAUUCGUAUUUAUUGUUAGAGUAAAAUUUGAAUUGAAAUUGUAAUUAAUAAAUUGUGUCGAAGCUUUAUAUAUCUCUUUGGAUUGUAUAUAGCUGAGUUGUAAUUGUUUUAUGAUUCAUACAAUUGUAGAGUGUAAAAGAAAUGUUUGGAUUGGAUCAGUACUUUAAUAAAUAGAAUUAAUAAUGGUGAAUAUUUGAAUUAAUAAAUCACAUUGUAAAAUUGAGAAAAAGAAAACCAACAAUUGUCCCAUUAAAAAGGCUGAUCCUCGUAUACACUAAAUAAAUACAUUAUAAUUAUUGUAAAUGCAGAUAUGUAAAGAGGCAAAAUACACAUAUCAUAUGCUGAUCCUCAUUCGUUCAUGCAUGCAUGCAUUUUUGUCUACAUAUAUAUAUAUAUAUAUAUUAUAUGGUGCAAAUUAAUUAAAUGAAAAAAAGGUUUGUUUUACAUACAAAAGAAUAAUAUAUACGGUAUUAAUUAGUUAGUUGGAAGCAGUUUCUUCAAUCCAGUGAGGGCGGAGAUGAGAAUAUUUGAAUGUGAUGUGUUGAUUGGUGUGUUUGAAGUAGACAUUAAAACUGAAAGAAGAAGGUAAAACCUUUGAAAUUUGACCCUCCCACCACUCAUUAUUGUACCAUGCAUCAACUUUCUGUGAGCACUUAAAUUGGUAGAAUUCAUGUGGUACUACUACAAAUUACACUAUUCACGUCGGUCAACGCUACUAUUCAUAGCAUUGACCGACGUGAAUAGUGUCCAAAUAAUUAGACUCGUCUAUUUAUAAAUGACGCUAAUAAUAUAUAAUUUGCGUCGUUUUUCAACUGAUGGUAAAAACCAAACCGACGAAAAAACCUAAAAAAAUUAAAAACCUGCUUUACAUUUUGCGUCUAUUAUUAACUGUCGGCUAUGGCAUUUUGUGAGGCUUUAAAAAUGACGCAAAAUAAUCUUAUGAGAGUGAGAAACCGACGCAACACCUUCAGUAAAAUCCCUAAACCCAACGUGUUGUUCACACUUCCCUAAUCUCCCUCCUCUUCAAAAUUUUUCUGGCAAAAUAAGUAACCCAACCCCGAUCUCUUCGAGCCCCUUUCCUCCUCUUCAAAAUCGAUCACUCGAGCCCCAUUCUCUUUCUCCUCUUCUUAAUCAAAACGACCCCAUCUCACUACCACUCCAACUCACUUAUUCAUCUCUCCUCUUAAACCAGACGACUGGGCUUCCACUGAUUGCUCAAAACCUCGCCUGGAUGACGGCGGUUCCGCCACUAUUACCGCCAUAGUGACGCUCACUGGGGGUCCCUCAGGUGCUGUUGGCAUUUUUCGGUGGUAGGGUUCCUCUGCGGUGGAUAUUGUGGGGCGUGUGUUCCGUAGAAAAGUGAAGAGGAAGAAUGGGAGUUCUGGAUCGAUGGCGAUGUUACCAUCUGUCACUUGAGAAUAAUUCAUUGAAUGAAGCAGUAAGGAGUGGAAACGGCGUCGUCGAAGGUAACAAAUGGAAAUACUGUAAUUAAGUAAGUUUGAUGUCUUUUCUUUGUUAUUUCAAAAGAUCUGACUAAGUUAUGUGAUCACAGCUCUAGAAAUACUUGUGCAGAAGAAGAUUACUGGAUUAUGUAAUUAACUUUUGCAUUAUGUAAUUAGUUUAUAGUUAGUUUUUACGAUACAUGGAAUAUAAAUUUUAGGAUCGUUUCUAUUAACAAUUUUGGUAUUAUGUAAUUAGUUAAUAGGAUUAAUUAUUAAUUUUAUAUAAGUUUUAUAAACGUUAUUUUAA